rnacentral:rRNA from 1 species
AGUGAACGCUGGCGGCAGGCCUAAUACAUGCAAGUCGAACGGCAGCACAGUGGAGCUUGCUCCAUGGGUGGCGAGUGGCGGACGGGUGAGGAAUACAUGGGAAUCUGCCCAGUCGUGGGGAUAACGUAUGGAAACGUACGCUAAUACCGCAUGCGCCCUUCGGGGGAAAGUCGGGGACCGCAAGGCCUGACGCGAUUGGAUGAGCCCAUGUUCGAUUAGCUAGUUGGCGGGUAACGGCCCACCAAGGCGACGAUCGAUAGCUGGUCUGAGAGGAUGAUCAGCCACACUGGAACUGAGACACGGUCCAGACUCCUACGGGAGGCAGCAGUAGGGAAUAUUGGACAAUGGGCGCAAGCCUGAUCCAGCCAUGCCGCGUGAGU